AUGUAUGUAUGUAUGUAUGUAUGUAUGUAUGUAUAUAUGUAUAUAUGUAUAUAUGUGUGUGUGUGUGUGUGUGUGUGUGUAUGUGGGGGAGGGGGUUGGGAGUCUGAGGCCAACUUUCAGAAGUCUGUUCUCUUUUUCAACAGUGUAAUUCCUGUGAGUAAACUCAGAUCACCUGGACUGUGUCGCAAGGACCGUUAUCCAUCUGCCAUCUCACUGGCUGCAGAAACCUACGUUGGAUGCUCAUUAAUCCAAGACAAAGGGAUGAGGGAGACUCUCAGACAUGACUGUGUCCUUGGCCCUGGAAAGAAAAUUGUCAGCAGUGCCGCACUAAGGAUGCUAAGGCAAAGAGAAGACUCUCAAAUACAAGAGGCAUAGACAACAUCCUCAGAAACAGAUGGAGGGAAACAUGCAAGGCUGGAAUGCCUGCAGAUCUGCUUCCAGAGGGGUCUGCUUCACUGUAUCUGUAUAACCUGCUCUCAAAUGAAUUCCUAUCUCAAAACCAGAAAUGGUCACUUAAAUUGAG
rnacentral:lncRNA from 1 species